rnacentral:sRNA from 1 species
AGCAGCCGCGGUAAUUCCAGCUCCAAUAGCGUAUAUUAAAGUUGUUGCAGUUAAAAAGCUCGUAGUUGAAUUUCGGGGUUAGCAGGUCGGUCGUGCCAUCGGUAUGAACUGGUCUCGCUGAUCCCUCCCUCUUGACGAACUGUGAUGCCAUUAAUUUGGUGUCGCAGGGAAUCAGGACUGUUACUUUGAAAAAUUAGAGUGUUUAAAGCAGGCUCACGCUUGAAUACAUUAGCAUGGAAUAAUGAAAUAGGACGUUUGAUCCUAUUUUGUUGGCUUCUAGGAUUGACGUAAUGAUUAAUAGGGAUAGUUGGGGGCAUUAGUAUUCAAUUGUCAGAGGUGAAAUUCUUGGAUUUAUUGAAGACUAACUACUGCGAAAGCAUUUGCCAAGGAUGUUUUCAUUAAUCAAGAACGAAAGUUAGGGGAUCGAAGACGAUCAGAUACCGUCGUAGUCUUAACCAUAAACUAUGCCGACUAGGGAUCGGAUGAUGUUAAUUUUUAAUGACUC